GAUGAACGCUGGCGGCGUGCCUAACACAUGCAAGUCGAACGGAGUCCAGCCUUUAAGACCUUCGGGUCAAAGAGGGGAAGCCUGAGUGGCGGACGGGUGAGUAACACGUGGGCAACCUGGCUCAUAGAGGGGGAUAACAGAGAGAAAUUUCUGCUAAUACCGCAUAAGCACACACUGCCGCAUGGCAGAGGGUGAAAAGAGAAUCGCUAUGAGAUGGACCCGCGUCUGAUUAGCCAGUUGGCAGGGUAAGAGCCUACCAAAGCGACGAUCAGUAGCCGAGCUGAGAGGAUGAACGGCCACAUUGGGACUGAGACACGGCCCAAACUCCUACGGGAGGCAGCAGUGGGGGAUAUUGCACAAUGGGGGGAACCCUGAUGCAGCGACGCCGCGUGAGUGAAGAAGUAUUUCGGUAUGUAAAGCUCUAUCAGCAGGGAAGAUAAUGACAGUACCUGAAUAAGAAGCCCCGGCUAACUACGUG
rnacentral:rRNA from 1 species